AUUGGAAUCAAUGGCUCACAAAACCAUGGAAACUCAGAAUCACGGAACAAUAGAACCUGGGAGCAGACUGUACAGGGAGUUAACAAUGUAAUUUCUUGAAGUUAAAAAGACAUCCUUGGCUGAGCGCAGUGGCAAACGCCUGUAAUCCUAGCACUUUGGGAGGCCAAGGCGGGUGGAUCACUUGAGGUCAGGAGUUUAAGACCAGCCUGGCCAACAUGGUGAAACCCCAUCUCUACCAAAAAUACAAAAAUUAGCUGGGCAUGGUGGUGCGUGCCUGUGGUCCCAGCUACCCAGGAGGCUGAGGCAAGAGAAUCGCUGGAACCCAGGAGGCAGAGUCUGCAGUGAGCCAAGAUUGUGCCACUGCACUCCAGCCUGGGCAACAGAGUAAGACUCCGUCUCAAAAAAAAAAGUCAUCUUUUCUGAUAAUGAAGAAUAUUUUCCUUCUUAUACACCCUUAGUUUAGAAAUGUGGAGAGGUGUGUUUUCACAUAAAGAACAAGCCUGUUAAUAUUUGUUGGUUGCUGAUAUUAUACAGUCCUGGUGAAUUUUUCCUCUUCAUUGCUAGAUCCAGCCCCCAAAGAAGAGGUAUGAUUGUCCUGAAACUACGAUACUUUGAAGUAACUCUAAGAGAGCCACUUGGAGAGGCUACAUGAGGGAGUACAAAAGGGCUCUAAAUGACAGCCCCACGUAAAAUCCCAGCCUAUAGCAAGGACCAACUGCCACCAUCGUACACAUUCCAAAUCAGUUGAACCUCCAGUGAGCCAUCUUGGACAUUUCAAGCCACUUGAGCCUUCAGGUGACUGAGGUUGUAGCUCCCACCACAUAGAGAAC
rnacentral:lncRNA from 1 species